rnacentral:piRNA from 1 species
UAAAAAUGAAGUAUGACACAA